AUACAGAGGAAGCCUCUUCAAGUAUUUAGUUUAUUUGGAGGAAAGAAGGAGAAGAGUGAGAACAGUGACGAUACACCACAAAAGGUUUUGGGCUCAUAUCGUGAUGGCAUAUGAAUUACUCUUUUGUUGUUGCGGAUAGGGUUUAUCAUACAAGCACUUCUGAAUUCUCAGUUGUAAUUUCUUUACAUCAAGAAUACUUCUCUUCUCACAUGCUAUUCAGUUUGCAACUCUUUGUAUUUUUUCUUAUUAACAUUUCUCUUGGUAUAUCAAAGACCAAAUUGACUA